AUUAUUUCUAAGUGUAUGAAUUGGAAGUUGGAGGGUUUUAAUUUGGAGAUCUCUCAUUUCAGCAUUUGCGGCGAGGAUACAAGUUUCUUGGGUUUGCGCAGAAAGGGGGAGAUUCAUACUAAGGGAGACGACAAUUCGUAUAGAAGUAUCGAAGAUCUAAAAAACCCCAGGAUCUUACAUAUUUAAUGGCGAUUACCAAAUCAAAGAGAGCUGGCAAGAGACCGGCUAAGGACAAGGGCAAGGGUAUUGCCGUUGAUGAUGGAAUCGAAGAUGGCGGUUGGAUAAAUUCUGCAGCCGAUGAGUUUGUAGCUAGGAACAGGCGCAAAGGUAUUGUCAUUCGGGAGCCGAGUGAACAUGAUGGCGCGAGCAGACAUGUAGAAGAAGGUGGAUGUAUCUAUUUUUAAAAUAUGCGACUAUUAAGCAUAUAAAGUUAUACAUUGUAUGAAAUUCGAUAUAUUACUUUAUGCAAUACGUUCGAAGCAUAGGAACGAUCCAUUGCUCAGAGAGUUGAUGCGUGCUUAUUUAACAGGAUGUGUUUUUUUAAAAAAAAUAUUAA